UGGGGAAUAUUGCACAAUGGGCGGAAGCCUGAUGCAGCAACGCCGCGUGCGGGAUGACGGCCUUCGGGUUGUAAACCGCUUUCGCCUGUGGCGAAGCGUGAGUGACGGUAAUGGGUAAAGAAGCACCGGCUAACUACGUGCCAGCAGCCGCGGUGAUACGUAGGGUGCGAGCGUUGUCCGGAUUUAUUGGGCGUAAAGGGCUCGUAGGUGGUUGAUCGCGUCGGAAGUGUAAUCUUGGGGCUUAACCCUGAGCGUGCUUUCGAUACGGGUUGACUUGAGGAAGGUAGGGGAGAAUGGAAUUCCUGGUGGAGCGGUGGAAUGCGCAGAUAUCAGGAGGAACACCAGUGGCGAAGGCGGUUCUCUGGGCCUUUCCUGACGCUGAGGAGCGAAAGCGUGGGGAGCGAACAGGCUUAGAUACCCUGGUAGUCCACGCUGUAAACGGUGGGUACUAGGUGUGGGGUCCAUUCCACGGGUUCCGUGCCGUAGCUAACGCUUUAAGUACCCCGCCUGGGGAGUACGGCCGCAAGGCUA
rnacentral:rRNA from 1 species